GCUCUGCCGAGGGUGCGGGGAACUCCGCGUGAGCCGACUGCAGCUUUCUGCGAGAGUUUCCAGCGUGCAGUCUCAUGCUUCUCGCUUGUCUCCAUAAUUAAUAUUCCUGUGCAUAUCUUGCUGUGAAUGUGUGUCCCAGCCAACAGACCGUCAGGCACAGCGGAGUCAGUUCAACCAUCUUGAUGAUCCAUAUUGGUCGCUGGAGGAUUGACUUGACUGCGAUACAGGUAACCCCAUUGAGAAGGUUAGAAUUGUGUUGAGAUUUGGCUAAACUACUCCAUAAUACUGUGGCUGGGGCAUCCAUUUUGUAUAGGACUAGCAUGUAGCCUUCAUUUUUCUUAUCCGCAGCCAAGAUGCACCUCGAAAGUGAAGGGAUAUCUAGAAUAUGGUUUGAAUCUAAUUCUUAAAAUCAAAGAAUCUGUACUUGGGGGGGAACUAGCUGACAUGAUAUGAGAAGCCCCACUGAGAAAGUCACAUGGCAAGAAGCUGAUAUUUCCAGACUUCACCUAGCAAAGACCUGAGACCUGUGAACAGCCCCCUGGGGGGACUUCAAAGUGGAUUUUCUUCCAGUUGAGUCCUGAGAUAACUGCAGCUCCAGAAAACAGCCUGAUUGUAGACUCCUGGGAGACUGUCAUAAACACCCAACUAUGUCACGUCAAGAUUCUUGAUUCACAGAGAGAAUUCAUGUUUUUAAAUGUGUUAAGUUUUGGGGUCAUUUGGGGUAAAUUUGGGGGUAAUCUAUAGCCAGCAAUAGAUAACUGAAAUAGCGUCUUUCAGAUUUUCCACUGAGUUUUCCAUUCUACCUUUCCUUGAUAAAAUAUGGAAUUUACUUCCAUUAAAAAUUAUUUAAGAUAAUUAUUUUCUAGUGAAAUAAAGAUACUGAAAUAUUGCCCACCAUAUAUAGUAGCUCAUUCAUUUAUUAUGUACUAUUUAAAAAAAAUAUCUCUUUAAGAUCUCUGUGAAAAAAUAAUUCAUUUCUGAAUUCUGGGCUCCAUUUUCCACCCUCCUCUGCAUCCAUUUAGUCCAGCAUAGAGACAUCAUUGAAUUUAAUUAUCAAUUAACAUGGAAAUGGCAACCCACUCUAGUGUUUCCCUGGGAAAUCCUAUGGACAGCAGAGCUUGGUGGGCUACAGUCCAUGGGGUCGCAAAGAGUCAAACAGAACUGAGUGACUAACCUUAAAAAUAUAUAUUUUUAGAGGAGUUGAAAUCUAUUCAUCUGUUUUCUUUAUUAACACUGGGAGUUUAUGAUGAACAAAUUUUUUCCAUUAAAUUAAGGCAGCAUAAUAUUA